rnacentral:rRNA from 1 species
AACGAACGCUGGCGGCAUGCCUAACACAUGCAAGUCGAACGAGACCUUCGGGUCUAGUGGCGCACGGGUGCGUAACGCGUGGGAACCUGCCCUUAGGUUCGGAAUAACUCCCCGAAAGGGGUGCUAAUACCGGAUAAUGUCUUCGGACCAAAGAUUUAUCGCCUUUGGAUGGGCCCGCGUUGGAUUAGCUAGUUGGUAGGGUAAAAGCCUACCAAGGCGACGAUCCAUAGCUGGUCUGAGAGGAUGAUCAGCCACACUGGGACUGAGACACGGCCCAGACUCGUACGGGAGGCAGCAGUGGGGAAUAUUGGACGAUGGGCGAAAGCCUGAUCCAGCAAUGCCGCGUGAGUGAUGAAGGCCUUAGGGUUGUAAAGCUCUUUUACCCGGGAUGAUAAUGACAGUACCGGGAGAAUAAGCUCCGGCUAACUCCGUG